GAUGAACGCUAGCGGCGUGCCUAAUACAUGCAAGUCGAGCGAACAGACGAGGAGCUUGCUCCUCUGACGUUAGCGGCGGACGGGUGAGUAACACGUGGAUAACCUACCUAUAAGACUGGGAUAACUUCGGGAAACCGGAGCUAAUACCGGAUAAUAUAUUGAACCGCAUGGUUCAAUAGUGAAAGACGGUUUUGCUGUCACUUAUAGAUGGAUCCGCGCCGCAUUAGCUAGUUGGUAAGGUAACGGCUUACCAAGGCAACGAUGCGUAGCCGACCUGAGAGGGUGAUCGGCCACACUGGAACUGAGACACGGUCCAGACUCCUACGGGAGGCAGCAGUAGGGAAUCUUCCGCAAUGGGCGAAAGCCUGACGGAGCAACGCCGCGUGAGUGAUGAAGGUCUUCGGAUCGUAAAACUCUGUUAUUAGGGAAGAACAAAUGUGUAAGUAACUACGCACGUCUUGACGGUACCUAAUCAGAAAGCCACGGCUAACUACGUG
rnacentral:rRNA from 1 species